GCACAAUAUUAUUAAACAUCAAAAAUUAAUCAUAAUCAUUCCUUCAGCAUUAUCUAGGACUUAUUCAGAUUUUGUUUCUUGCUGCUAUGAUGUGAUGGGAGAUUUCAGAAUAGUAAGUGGUAAAAUACACAUUAGAUGCACAACUGAAAUAAAAUAAGAUUGUGUAAAACAGAAGAGUGUUUUCUUGUAGUAUUAACCUGUAGCAACCUAGUAUGGACCAUCAUGUUUGGUGGGACUUUGGUUCAUGAAGUUUCAGAUUUUGUUUUUUAUAAAAGCACCCCUGAAUAUCAUUUUUAAGCCUAAUUAUGUUCUUGGAAAGAGGCUAUGUGUAUGAGAAAUAGCAUUUCAAAUUUUUCUUUAUGGAUAUAUUGUAAUAAAUGAUAUCAUUAGCAUAUAAUUAUAACAUACACAAUUAUCCAAAAAGAUAAGCUAAUACUUUUGAUAUCUUUCACAUAUAUGUGUGUGAGGUAUAUACAAUCCAUAAACAAAGCCAGUUAAAAUAGAACUCUAUUACCAUUAUCACCUUUUUACCUUAACAUUUUUUUUUAUUUUUCACUUUUGGAUCGAAUUUUGUACAAUAGAAGCGUUCUGGAUAUAAGUCAACAAGAGACAAUUGAGAAAAGGCAACAAGGUAAUUGCUCUGCCUUGCCUGGUGAACUCUUAAAUCAACAAAGGAGUCCGCCUCUCUAAGCUAAUCAGCCCGUGUGGGUCCCCCGCCUGACAGUAGAGCGCUGAAGUGAAUCUACGCUGCGGGGGUUUCUCUCUUGUUUUCCAAUUCAAACGCUUGCAACACAGAGUGAAUAAAAUAAUCCUAAAAAAUAAUGCCAACUAAUACUUCAACGUAUCUAUAUUUUAGGAGUGAUAUUAAGAAUUAAACUAUUCACUCCAAUGUUCUGCACCAAUAACUAUGCUAUCAUUUCCGGACGCUGCCACCAACAGAGGGAAUGUUGUCCUUACAAUUUUCUUGAACGUAGGCGCUCAGAGAAAGUUGAGCCUCUGGCAGAUGGCAUAAAGAGGUGAUUUGACAAAGAGUUGGAAGCAAUUAAGAAGGUACUUUGAUUCUUUCAUUUCCACAAGUGUAUUCAUUCGGGGAGAAACCUAGGGGACUGGGCCAUGGGAGGAAAAUAGGGGCAACCUAAAACAAAGUUUAUUUAACCUUCAGAAAGGUUGCAUCUCUGAGUCUGCCGCCACAGGUUGCGGUUACUUCUCCACUCUUCGAACCUAGGGGGCUGGAGGAUCUCCCAGCAGACAGCCCCCAGGUGGCAGGCAGGGGCCCUUCCCCUUUUAGUGAUCGGCGCCGCGGGUGAUCAGAUUCACCGGAUUCACCUUUGCUUUCGCGUCCCCAGCAAUGCGCUACCGAGGCUCUCCAGAGCUCUGGUUCCAAACGGGAGUGGCAAGCGGAUUCACACUGAGGAACAGAAUGACCUCUCCGGGCUGCGCUCGCUGUCUCGGGACUGUGAGAGACUCCAACUACCCCAGCGAGAAUCCGAUACAUUUAAUGAAGGCUUCGCCAGAUGCAGGGUUCACCGCGUCCUUGGGCCAGAACCUCUUAGUCAGCACAUUGCACUCACUGGCUGCAACCUGGGCUCCACGCAGAACUCCGGCGCAGAUGAAAAUUGCCUGUUCCUAGUCAGUUCGAGUUUCAAAAAGAAAAAAAACAAAAACAAAAAAAACUGAAAAAAGGAAGAGAAAGGUUUCGCGUGACACUGCCAGCUGCUUUUGUGAAAUCAUAAUAAACACUUCCAAAAGCACAAUGUUAAAGGAAGGGUGCAAAUUUCUGUCCUCGCUUGGCCGAAUUGCUACCGGCAACGAGGUGCGGAACCUCGCAUUCUCAACACUGAUCUGAGGUUUGUGGCUUCGCCGCUGCCGGGAGCGUGGAAUUCUAUCUUGGCUGAGAACCGAGCAGCAGACCGCACAGGAACGCUGCCUCCCGGGCUGCCGUCUGCCAGGAACGCUGGGGACAGAAACAACUACCUGAACUAAGAACCGUAGGCUAGGAAGCUCUGCGUGCAGAAAAAAAAUUCUUGCCAAUUCACCUAGAUUGUUUUAACUGGUUAAUAAAGCAACUGACACUCAACAAAACAACAGUCACAGCAGGAGUUCUCGGCAAUAAAAUGGGAAUCACAACUAUGGGGUUGUUAACUGCCUUCAGUAUUAUCAUUGCUUAGUAUUACUUAAAAAAAAAAAAAAAGACGGCAAGAAAAAGAUAAUCAUUUCAUACCCAAUGGUACAUAAAGAAGAUCCCUUCCCUUUUUCUCUGAAAUUAGAGCGCAGAUUCUCUUGAUUCAUCGUCAAUAAGCCGUCACCAAGAAGAACUGGAAGAGAGGCAAAUGAGCCGUAAACACCCACAGUCCUGAUCUGGGUGGAAUGUAAAUGGUUAACCGUGACUCCCUUUGAAACGCGUAUAAUUUUAUCUGACCUUUGGACGUGAUUUAAGAUAUGGAUGGUUUACGUAGCCAUGAUUAGACUAUACAGAAUAAGUAAAAGCAAGAAGGGGGAAUGAGGUACAUUCCAUAUCUAUUUUCUGAGGUGAAGAAAAUAUGUUCAUGUCUCAUUUUCAUCCCCAAAUUACAAGUUUGUGGAUAUCAGGAAAAUACAAAUCCUUCAGUUAUAGUUUUCCACCUGAAUACCUUACUCAUGCAAAUUGGCAGUCCAACUGUUAUCCCACCCUUUCAAAUGAGAUUCUGAUGUGGGCUAAACAGAGCAUCACCUCCCUGGGAAUAAGUUCCCAAACAAAUCCAUAGUUCAGGAAAAGCUGACCCAAACCCCCUUUCCUUUCCAAUCUCGUUUAGUUGGGGAAGAAGAAGUCUUCUCCCUUUCUGUACAUACUUUCCCAAAGAGCCAACUUAAAGUUCAUUUCUGUCUGCCAGAGGUUGUUGGGCAAUAAAUAAGUUCUAAACAUGUAACACUACUUUUCAAUUGCAAUUCAAACCUAUUUAGAUUUUUGAAAAGUAGUUUGAGAACAUGAUAUUUGUUCAGGAAUGUGUACCUGGCAUUAAGUUUGAUGCAGAAUGUUUAAAUUUUAAUUAAAGCAGAGACAGAAAGCAGCAGCACACAGAAAUACAGACGUAAGAGCCUACCAGGAGUUUUAGGUGUCACAGCGGCUUUUGGAAAGUGUAUGCAAGUGCACGUGGGCACAUGUGACAGACUCAAGAGGAACUUACUAAAUCUCAGCAUCUCUUUCAUAGUCAAAGACACUGUAAAGUAUAUUUGGGUGGCCUGGAGAUAAUAGGGACAAAUAUUGAAUAACUACUAAUAUUCUGGUUUUUCUUUCGUCAAUAUAGGGGUUCAAACCAGGGGAUUCAGAAAACUGAUAUUUUGAAGGAUAUAUUUUUGACCUAAGAGAAUAGGCAAAGGUCAAAAUGAGUCCAUGUUUGACAGGACAGGGUCUAAUCCUCCCUUUGAACACAAGAGGUCGCUCCUGUGAUCAAGUACUGGAGGAAAUAUUGCUAAUCACUGUUU
rnacentral:lncRNA from 1 species